AAAAGCUCGUAGUUGGAUCUCAGCACCGGCCGGACGGUCCGCCUACCGGUGGUUACUGUUCGUCGCCGUGCGUUCAGGCGGUUAUCUUUGAUGAUCUUCACCGGUUGUCUCGGGUGACCGCCAAGUUUACUUUGAAAAAAUUAGAGUGCUCAAAGCAGGCGCGACGCCUGAAUAAUUGUGCAUGGAAUAAUGGAAUAGGACCUCGGUUCUAUUUUGUUGGUUUUCGGAACACGAGGUAAUGAUUAAGAGGGACAGACGGGGGCAUUCGUAUUGCGACGCUAGAGGUGAAAUUCUUGGACCGUCGCAAGACGAACUACUGCGAAAGCAUUUGCCAAGAAUGUUUCCAUUAACCAAGAACGAAAGUUAGAGGUUCGAAGGCGAUCAGAUACCGCCCUAGUUCUAACCAUAAACGAUGCCAGCCAGCGAUCCGGCUGUGUUCCUCAAAUGACACGCCGGGCAGCUUCCGGGAAACCAAAGCUUUUGGGUUCCGGGGGAAGUAUGGUUGCAAAGCUGAAACUUAAAGGAAUUGACGGAAGGGCACCACCAGAAAUGGAGCCUGCGGCUUAAUUUGACUCAACACGGGAAAACUUACCCGGCCCGGACACAGGAAGGAUUGACAGAUUAAGAGCUCUUUCUUGAUUCUGUGGGUGGUGGUGCAUGGCCGUUCUUAGUUGGUGGGGCGACUUGUCUGGUUAAUUCCGAUAACGAACGAGACUCUAGCCUACUAAAUAGACGUUCUCAUCCUCUUCUGUGGGACGUUCUUCUUAGAGGGACAAGCGGCGUUUAGCCGCACGAGACAGAGCAAUAACAGGUCUGGGAUGCCCUUAGAUGUCCGGGGCCGCACGCGCGCUACAUUGAAGGAAUCAGCGUGUGUUUUCCCUGUCCGAAAGGACUGGGUAACCCGGUGAACCUCCUUCGUGCUUGGGAUUGCCGAAUGUAAUAACGGCAUGAACGAGGAAUUCCCAGUAAGCACGAGUCAUCAGCUCGUGUUGAUUACGUCCCUGCCCUUUGUACACACCGCCCGUCGCUACUACCGAUUGAAUGAUUUAGUGAGGUCUUCGGACUGGCGCUCGGAUUGGCCUUCGCGGUCGAGCCGGUGUGCCGGAAAGAUGACCAAACUUGAUCAUUUAGAGGAAGUAAAAGUCGUAACAAGGUUUU
rnacentral:rRNA from 1 species